UACGUAGGGUGCGAGCGUUAAUCGGAAUUACUGGGCGUAAAGCGUGCGCAGGCGGUGAUGUAAGACAGUUGUGAAAUCCCCGGGCUCAACCUGGGAACUGCAUUCAAAACUGUCGAGCUAGAGUAUGGUAGAGGGUGGUGGAAUUUCCUGUGUAGCGGUGAAAUGCGUAGAUAUAGGAAGGAACACCGAUGGCGAAGGCAAUCCCCUGGACCUGUACUGACGCUCAUGCACGAAAGCGUGGGGAGCAAACAGG
rnacentral:rRNA from 1 species